GUAUAUAUAGCUCAGUGGUAGAGUGUGUGCCUGGCAUGCAUGAGGUCCUGGGUACAAUCCCCAGUACCUUUA
rnacentral:tRNA from 1 species